rnacentral:rRNA from 1 species
UAGGGAAUCUUCCACAAUGGACGACAAGUCUGAUGGAGCAACGCCGCGUGAGUGAAGAAGGUUUUCGGACCGUAAAGCUCUGUUGUUGGUGAAGAAGGAUAGAGGUAGUAACUGGCCUUUAUUUGACGGUAAUCAACCAGAAAGUCACGGCUAACUACGUGCCAGCAGCCGCGGUAAUACGUAGGUGGCAAGCGUUGUCCGGAUUUAUUGGGCGUAAAGCGAGCGCAGGCGGAAGAAUAAGUCUGAUGUGAAAGCCCUCGGCUUAACCGAGGAAUUGCAUCGGAAACUGUUUUCUUGAGUGCAGAAGAGGAGAGUAGAAACUCCAUGUGUAGCGGUGGAAUGCGUAGAUAUAUGGAAGAAUACCAGUGGCGAAGGCGGCUCUCUGGUCUGCAACUGACGCUGAGGCUCGAAAGCAUGGGUAGCGAACAGGAUUAGAUACCCUGGUAGUCCAUGCCGUAAACGAUGAGUGCUAAGUGUUGGGAGGCUUCCGCCUCUCAGUGCUGCAGCUAACGCAUUAAGCACUCCGCCUGGGGGAGUACGACCGCAA